UAUGUGGACUAGAAGAUGUUAGCCGUGAUAUUCACGACUCGUCUGAAAUGCCUGAGUGUACCCCGCUUUGCGGCGUAUUCGGUGUGAUACAUCUUCACCGGAGUUGAUCCCUUUGGGGUCGCGUCUGUAAUGAGUAGUGUGGCUCUAUGCUUCUAACCGUCUCCCUGAGACAACCUCUGACAAUUUGACCUCAAAUCGGGUGGGACUACCCGCUGAACUUAAGCAUAUCAAUAAGCGGAGGAAAAGAAACUAACAAGGAUUCCCCUAGUAACGGCGAGUGAAGAGGGAAAAGCUCAAAUUUUGAAUCUGGUGUCUUUGACUCCCGAGUUGUAAUCUAGAGAAGUGUUUUCCGUGUCGGACCGUGCACAAGUUCCCUGGAACGGGGCGUCAUAGAGGGUGAGAAUCCCGUAUAUGGCAUGGACUGCCGAUGCUUUUGUGAUACACUCUCAACGAGUCGAGUUGUUUGGGAAUGCAGCUCAAAAUGGGUGGUAAAUUCCAUCUAAAGCUAAAUAUUGGCGAGAGACCGAUAGCGAACAAGUACCGUGAGGGAAAGAUGAAAAGCACUUUGGAAAGAGAGUGAAACAGUACGUGAAAUUGUUGAAAGGGAAGCGUUUGAAGUCAGUCGUGUCUGGCGGGAUUCAGCCGGGCUUUUGCCAGGUGUACUUCUCGUCCGAUGGGUCAGCAUCAAUUUCGACCGGGGGAAAAAGACGUGCGGAAUGUGGCUGUCUUCGGGCAGUGUUAUAGCCACAUGUUGUAUGCCUCGGUUGGGAUUGAGGAACGCAGCGCGCCUCAUGGCCAGGGGCUUGCCUCUUGAUACGCGCUUAGGAUGCUGGCAUAAUGGCUUUAAGCGACCCGUCUUGAAACACGG
rnacentral:rRNA from 1 species